ACCUGCAUCAGCGGGAACUCGGCAGAAGUUAUUGAAUCUAGUUCCCUGCACUACACAGGAGGACGCUGCCGUUUACCCAUCCUAUUUGUAACUGUUGGCGUCUCCUAACCCCAAACACCCAUUUUCCCCUCGUCCACCCUCACCCCUCGAUAACCGCAAGUCUGCUGUCCAGGUCUGGGACUGUUUCUGUUUCGAAGCUGGGAACUGAUGAUUAUACAGCAAACAACUCAGUUGAAACUCUGUACUAACCAUUAUAUAGCAACAUUAAGCUCUUGCGUGAUCAAGCCUGGCCCCUGGUCCCGAAGCUAAAUCUUCUUUGGAGAUGAAGAAUCCGACACCGUUCACCGUAAGCUAUCACCACCGGGAAGCAGAGGGGCAGAAGCCCCCUUGUUCUGCAUGGCAUCUGUGCUCACAGCCCAUCAUGUGGCCACCAGGGACCUGCAGGUGCUGUUAAACCUUGCACGCUCGUAAAGCUGGGGAAACUGUAAGGUGAAGUCACUUGCCCACAUCCAUGGAACAAGCCAAGGGCAGAGAUGGGACUCAGGUCUGUCACACUCCGGCAACUUCGGUGCGACUACCUAGGAAGAUGGUGGGGGCCGGGAGAGAAGUUCAAGCCCCGUCGUCCAUCACGCCAGCGCCAGAGGCCCAUGCAAGCCUUCUCCACACCCACUCGUUGAGAGCUUUUCAAAGCAAUAAGCGCGUCAUGCCGUGCCCCUUCCCUCCCCACUGCUGACACCCUCCUGUGGUUCCUUAAGGAGUGAAGUUGGUCCUCAGCAGCCUCUGGAGCCUCACCCCCACCUGUCCAGACGCCUUUGUAUUUUGUCCCCCAAACUGGCCCCUUCGCAGUUCCUUAAAAGCUCUACGACCAGGAAGCUGAGCCCCUUCUGAGCCCAGUUUCCCCAUGGUCAGAUGGGGCCAUGUUCCCCCCACCCCUUGGAGUCUGCUGUAGCAAGGACAGGGCGUGGAGAAUUCUGUGCAAACUGUAAAGUGCUGUGCCCCCAUUGUACGGGACAAAGGAGAGCAGACAAGGCCGGGCUGCCCGAGGAGGCUGGGCAUCUAGCCACUUGGGCCAUUGUCUAAGCAUCCCUAGCAUCUCCUGCCUCUCCUACCCCUUGCCCCUGUCCUCGUACUCCCUACUGUCCCCAGGGAACGUAGACCCACCCCCAGAUUUACUAGGGCAUGUUAAGAACAUGGUUUGAAGCCAUCUCUGAGGUCAUGAGGUCAUGGCAGUUUCCCAUCGAUCUAUUUGUCCCUCCCUUGGCUGGAGCCCUUUGCCCCUGCCAGUCCCCAAAGCCAUAUCAAACUUCAGCAACCUCCCCCAAGCCUCACUGCUCCCAAGCUAGGUCCCAAGGAGCCAAAACAUGGAGCAGGGCUUUAAAACACUGCCCCUGGGCGAUUUACCAGCUGGGCUGCCCAACCCCUGACCUCGGGAGGAGAUGUAAUGUAUCUCCCUGGUUUAGUUGGAUCAAUGGUGCUGUGGAAAACAGCCCCAAGUGGCUCAGUUAGGAC
ensembl:lncRNA